AUGUUGUUCCUGGUUCUCCUUUCAUUUACUCUUUUUAAAGAGAAUGCUGGUGAGGAAGUGAUAUCAUCACUGUCCACAGAACAGAUCGUUUUGGCUGGAAAAAAUGCCACAUUUUCCUGCAAAUACAAGGGCAAUAUUCGCAACUUGCAGUGGUAUCGUCAGUAUCCCGGAUCUAAACCUGAGAAUAUCAUUUUUCACACUGAGAGCAACAAUCAGUCUCACUCCAGGCUUCGUCUGCUCGCUGUGGCUGAAAAAGGAAUCAAACGUAUGAAUUUGAGCAUAUUUCAUACAGAAAUGGAGGAUUCUGCUCUUUACUACUGUGCGCUGGAGCCCACAGUGACAGGAAACACAGAAACACUGAACAAAAACUGA